AGACAAAUCUGCUUAUUAAUUAUGUCUGCUUAUUAAUUCUUCUUGUUCGUGUCUUUUAUGUUCAUGACUCAUAUCCAUGUGGGACGGUAUCAUACUUUAUGAGUUAUUUUCAGUUGGUAGAGAGGAAUCCAUCCCACCUUCUUUUUUUGUUGAUCACACCCCACUUUUAUUUCAACAUUAUGCUUUUCAAAUUCAGGGUAAAGUAGGGGCCCAGCUCUUGAAUUGUAUUAUUAUUUGAAUUAUACACGUAUAAAUUUAAAGACAAAUUGCAAAUGGAUAUAUCUAUGUAAUUGAUUUCAACG
rnacentral:lncRNA from 1 species